rnacentral:rRNA from 1 species
GAUGAACGCUGGCGGCGUGCUUAACACAUGCAAGUCGAACGGAAAGGCUCCUGCUUGCAGGGGUACUCGAGUGGCGAGCGGGUGAGUAACACGUGGGUGAUCUGCCCUGCACUUCGGGAUAAGCCUGGGAAACUGGGUCUAAUACCGGAUAGGACCACAUUUUGGAUGGUGUGGUGGAAAGUUUUUCGGUGUGGGAUGAGCUCGCGGCCUAUCAGCUUGUUGGUGGGGUAAUGGCCUACCAAGGCGUCGACGGGUAGCCGGCCUGAGAGGGUGUACGGCCACAUUGGGACUGAGAUACGGCCCAGACUCCUACGGGAGGCAGCAGUGGGGAAUAUUGCACAAUGGGCGCAAGCCUGAUGCAGCGACGCCGCGUGGGGGAUGACGGCCUUCGGGUUGUAAACUCCUUUCGCUAGGGACGAAGCGCAAGUGACGGUACCUGGAGAAGAAGCACCGGCUAACUACGUG